UUUCUUAUUUGAAGAUUUUUCAAAAUACAGAGCCAUAGGGCCCACUCCUAGAGACUUUUACUCAAUAGGGCUGAAGGAAACCACAGGUUUCUUAGUUUUAACGAGAUUCUCAGACAAUUCUGGUGCACUUGUCAACAACGUAUCUAAUUUUUAUUCUAGAUCUGAUAUUUUGACUUUAUAUCUAACGAAGUAGCUUUUUUAAAAAGAAUAGAGCACCAAUUACCAAAGAAGCCUUCCAUUGACUCUAUGGGACAUUUUCAUAACUUUUUGUUCAUUGAUACCUUUUAUACUUUUCAAAUAAUAAAACAUAUGGAAAAUUUAUCAAAAAUUUAUACUAACUUGGAAUCAUAAUCUAUCAUCUUCCUUCUUCUGCUUGCAUCAUAUACACAUGUAAACAUACACAUAUGUGUGCAUAUGUACACAAAUAUGCAUAUAUACACACAUGCUUACAUGCAACCAUAUACACACGCUCCAUACCCCCCCACAUUCAAAAAUAUACACACAUGUGCACAUUGAAUACUCAUGCACAAUACACACUCACACACGCAUACAUGUUUACACAAACCCAUAAUAUGUACACACAUAGUCAUGUGUUAUAUGUUUGCACACUCAGACAUGAACAGAUAUUCACAUGUACACUCACAUCCACUUUCUUCUAAAGAGGUAUAGUGAAAAUUACAAGGGCCUAGGUUAGACCUUGGCCCAAGUCAUGGCUGUGCCAAGACUGGUCCUACGACCUCCUUUCUUUUUUUUUUUUUUUUUUUUUUUGGCUGCACUUGCAGCAUGAGGAAGUUUCUGGGCAAAGGAUCAAACCGGCAUCAAAGCAGUGACCUGAGCCACACCAGUGACAAUGGUGGAUCCUUAACCCACUGAGCCACCGGGGAACUCUGAUCAUAUGACCUUUCUGACCCUAAGUUUGCUUAUAUUAUUACAAGCUCUGUCUCACUAGAGCAUAGUGAGACUCAAGAUUGAAAGGCAUUUGUAGAAAGGCUCUCUGUAGCCUAAACACCUCUACUCAAUCAUGUUUUCUUACAUAAUAAUGACAGUUUUUUAAGAUACUUGCUUUUCUUUGUAAAAGCAUUUCGUGUGAUUUGGACAUCUGGUAGUACCUUUUAUACAUAAAACGAUUCAAGGCUUAGAGAGUUUUAACUUAACCCAAUGUGUGAAGCAAGCAUUGUGGGGUUUGGGUCCUAACCCUAUUCUCUUAUCUGUGGGAGCACUGCUCCAAGCAUCACCAGUGUUCUACUGUACCUUCUGGAGCUACUGUGCUGAUGCCAUAAAGGACAUUGCCCUCAGAUGGCAAUUUAAACCUAACCAGUUUUAGUUUUAAAAAAUUGGCUUAACAUUGUAAGUGGAAAUACUUAACUGCGGGUGUGACUCAGAGGACUACAGAGCCCUCUACUAUAUUUUUGUUUGUUUUAAAAGCAACCCCCAACUCAAAAUCAUUAAAGAAAUGAAUAUGAAACAUGCAUUGUUGGAGAAUAUAAAAUUAUACUGCCCAUAUGUUUGAAUUUGAAGGUACACUACCUUGAGAAGGCUCAGAGUUGCAAAGCAUAAGAAAUUUAUUACUUGGCUCUCUUGCCCAGAAUAGCGUUCAUUCCAUUUUAAAUGUCACCAAAGUGCAUUUAUGUCAAAAGAAAGCUACCUAAUCAAACUGACAAUGACUCAGUGAUCAGCACUGGGCAGAAAUUAUUCUAUGAAGUAUCUGCCAUGCAAAUUGAUGGGGAACUUGGCAAAGAUGAUAUCUCAUGUCUCAUCAAACAUCACAGCACUUUCUCAAAGAUGAAAAUGUGCCUAUAUAUAAUGUAAAAAAAACCCCUGCAGGUUCUUUUGAGGUUAUAAGAAUGAACCCACUAUCUAGAACAGAUUUUGCUCACAAUUUCUAAAUAUUCCAUAUUUCGCAUUGUGAUGAUUAAUCUUAUGUGUCAUUCUGACUGGGCAUAGGGUGCCCAUAUAUUUAAUUAAACAUAAUUUCUGAGUGUGUCUUGCAGGGUGUUUCUGGAUGAGAUUAACAUUUGAAUUGGCAGACUGAGUAAAGCAGACUGACCUCCCCCAUGUGAGUAGGCCUCAUCCAAUCCAUUCAGGGCCUGAACACGGGGGAAAAAAAAAAACUGAGUGAGAGAGAUUUCUCUAUCCCUAUCUUAGAGUUUUCAAGCUGGACAUGGGCCUUCAGGUUUGAACUCAGGGUGGAACUAACACCAUUGCCUCUUCUGAUUCUCAGGCCAGACUGAGACUGGAAACAUACCAUCCAUGCCAUUGGCUCUCUGGGGUCUGGACUUCUCCUAUUGGCUCUAUUUCUCUGAAGAACUCCUGACUCAUACAUGGAUCAAUGAACACAAAGUUGUCUAAUCACUAUUCACGAAGACAAAAAACAGAAGAAAUAGCUAUAGAUGAUUAAGACAAAGAAUAUCAAAACAAAGUUAGCUGCAACAAUAGGACAGUUUUAAGUAAUUGUGGAAAUUAAUUCUCUACUCUUUAGAUGCCAGGUAAUUCAUAAGAAAGAAAUAAAAUAGGGACAGAAAGAAAAUAUGGCUCUGCUAAGAGUAAGAACAACUCUUUUUAUAGCAUUUUAAAGUCCACAGAGCCCUUUUGCCUGCCUCAUCCCAUUCAAACAGAACCCUAUAGAACAAGAACAAGAGUUCCUGUCGUGGCCCAGUGGUUACGAAUCCAACUAGGAACCAUGAGGUUGCAGGUUUGAUCCCUGGCCUUGCUCACUGGGUUAAGGAUCCAGCAUUGCUGUGAGCUGUGAUGUAGGUCACAGAUGCGGCUCGGAUCCCGCGUUGCUGUGGCUGUGGUGUAGGCUGGCAGCUGUAGCUCCGAUUAGACCCCUAGCCUGGGACCUCCAUGUGCCAUGGGUGUAGCCCUAGAAAA
rnacentral:lncRNA from 1 species